GAAUUUAUAGCUUAUAAAGAGUUUAAUAUUGAAGAUAUUAAGGAGAAUCUUAUUCUAAUUUCA
rnacentral:tRNA from 1 species